UUCCUGGUGGCGAGCGGCGGACGGGUGAGUAAUGCAUAGAAAUCUGCCCGGUAGUGGGGGAUAACCUGGGGAAACCCAGGCUAAUACCGCAUACGUCCUACGGGAGAAAGCAGGGGAUCUUCGGACCUUGCGCUAUCGGAUGAGUCUAUGUCGGAUUAGCUUGUUGGUGAGGUAAUGGCUCACCAAGGCGACGAUCCGUAGCUGGUCUGAGAGGAUGAUCAGCCACAUCGGGACUGAGACACGGCCCGAACUCCUACGGGAGGCAGCAGUGGGGAAUAUUGGACAAUGGGCGAAAGCCUGAUCCAGCCAUGCCGCGUGUGUGAAGAAGGCCUUCGGGUUGUAAAGCACUUUCAGUGGGGAAGAAAGCCUUGGGGCUAAUACCCUCGAGGAAGGACAUCACCCACAGAAGAAGCACCGGCUAACUCCGUGCCAGCAGCCGCGGUAAUACGGAGGGUGCGAGCGUUAAUCGGAAUUACUGGGCGUAAAGCGCGCGUAGGCGGUCUGAUAAGCCGGUUGUGAAAGCCCCGGGCUCAACCUGGGAACGGCAUCCGGAACUGUCAGGCUAGAGUGCAGGAGAGGAAGGUAGAAUUCCCGGUGUAGCGGUGAAAUGCGUAGAGAUCGGGAGGAAUACCAGUGGCGAAGGCGGCCUUCUGGACUGACACUGACGCUGAGGUGCGAAAGCGUGGGUAGCAAACAGGAUUAGAUACCCUGGUAGUCCACGCCGUAAACGAUGUCGACUAGCCGUUGGGCUCCUUGAGAGCUUUGUGGCGCAGUUAACGCGAUAAGUCGACCGCCUGGGG
rnacentral:rRNA from 1 species